rnacentral:rRNA from 1 species
AUUGAACGCUGGCGGCAGGCCUAACACAUGCAAGUCGAGCGGAGCGGCGGACGGGUGAGGAAUGCCUAGGAAUCUGCCUGUGCGUGGGGGAUGGGGUCCGGAACCGGGCGCUAAUACCGCAUACUAUCAGAAUAGCCUAGGUCGGAUUAGCUAGUUGGUGGGGUAAAGGCCUACCAAGGCGACGAUCCGUAACUGGUCUGAGAGGAUGAUCAGCCACACUGGAACUGAGACACGGUCCAGACUCCUACGGGAGGCAGCAGUGGGGAAUAUUGGACAAUGGGCGAAAGCCUGAUCCAGCCAUGCCGCGUGUGUGAAGAAGGUCUUCGGAUUGUAAAGCACUUUAAGUUGGGAGGCGUUACCAACAGAAUAAGCACCGGCUAACUUCGUGCCAGCAGCCGCGGUAAUUC